GACUGCAUUAGUCUCUGUGAGUAUUCAAAUCUCUUGUUGUGCUUUUACCUCACAACCAGCAAUUUGUGCCACCAAGUCUUGUUUUUUUACCUAGUAGUAAUCUGACCUCAUUUUCAUGUUUUUGGACCUUGCCUCUUACCAGGUGUUUUUGUUCCUCUGCCUUUUUUGGACUGCUUAUCUGUGUAUGACAUCGGCCUGAAAUAAAACCACCCUCAACAUCCUCUCAGGCCUGCGUUUGAGUCCUACCCCAUGUCGUAUGCCCUUGACAGUAUCUUAAUUAUUUUUUUUUUUUUUUUUUUUUUUUUUUUUUUUUUUAGAUGUGGAUAAACCCCGCACACGAGAUGUCGUCAGUUAUGAAAUGAGAGAAGACACCAACUGGUCCAAUUGUGGAGAAACAGAUGCCGCCGGACUCCGACCUUAACGUUUUUGCGCUCAGUUGCAAGGGUUGCUGGUAUGCUGGAGCUAAUUCUGGGCGAGAGGCGCAGGACACCCUAGACUGGUCGCAAGCCAAUCCCAGGCCACAUACAGACCAAACAAAUCUCAACACUCACAUUCGCACAAUUCUGUGCAGAGUUCCCAGCACGUGGCAUUAAAAAAAAAAAAAAAAAGUUGCAGAUCUUCCACUGCUGCUGCUUGCUGAAAAAGGUCAGUUACAUCACACUGCUGAAAACACCGAUGCAUUGUGGGAAGCAUUUUCCAGCCUUGGUGCACUGUGGAACUUUGAGAAAGGCGUGAGUCACUGACUGCCGAGCACGAUGUCGCCCCUGUCCCAAGAGAACCAAUUACAUUGUAUGUUUGCCCCCAAAGUCUCAACAUGAAGCACACACAAGGAAUAAAAAUAUCAGGUGAGGCAGAGAAAGAUGGUGCACACUAUUGAUUGUCUCAGUGUAGUAUAAGGCUCCAGGGUGAGGAGGCUUUGCCGCUGUCUUGUUUGCAUUCUGCAAACAGUGAACACAAGAAUGAUUUUGUUUGAAAAGUCAUAUUUAAACAGUGGCUGUAUUGUAAAUUUACACAGGCCAUGUAGAUGCGCACAUGGAGCGAUGCAUGCAAGAUUGAAAAGAAAACUAUACUGUAUAUACAAAGCAUGUCCCAAUGCACAAUGUCGAGGCUUGUUCCCCCCCCCCCAUAUAAUUGUUAUGCCAUUUGUGGCCUUAAAGCUGUGAUUCUUACAGCCUCUAAGCAAUUUUCUUCUAAUAUAUGUUAAUGUAUGAUAAUGUGCAGUUCAAUGAUUAUACAAAGCUAGAAAUGCGAUAUUGAGCCCAAAUUCAAAAUGUGUACCGCAACAUCCCGUCCUCCAUUUUCGAUGGUGCUUGCCCUCAUUGGCAUGGACUGUGAACUGGAGCCUAUCCCAGCUUAAAUUUAAGUGAGAGGUGGGUAAAAUCUGGUCACCAGUAAUUUGCAGCGCACAACUACAACCGUUCACUCUAAUAUUAACUACUGAGGACAAUAUUGCAUUUUGAAAUGUGGGAAGGAGAAACCCCAUGCAUAUACAAAAGAGAACAUCCCUUAGAACCUCUUGACAGUGACACUAGCGCACCAUGCCGCUGCUCAAAAUGCUCUUGACCCUGAAUUGAAAAUGUAGCCUGUCACCUCUCAGUGGAAUAAUUUGUAGGACGUAGGAGCAAUGUUUAGCACACCUACAUAACAGUUGAAAGGGUCAUCACAUCUUGGGUCAGUCAGUUCUAGAAUACUCUCUCUUACUCCCACAUUUCAUCAACAUAUAUGUGAAUUUUACUGGAGACUAAAAUAUUUAUGUAAGUGUAAAUUGUCAUUUGUGGAUAUGUGGCCGGCAACAGUGUGUACCCCGCCACUCUCCUAAACUCAGCUUGGAUUGGCUCCAGCUCAAUGUUAUUCUCAUGAACACAAGUGCUGUAGGAAAAGGAAUGAAUGAGUAUUAUAUAUCCAACUCCUGCAAACACCAUAAACCAAGGUCAGACAGUCGCAUCAUAAAUAUAUAUGAUACUCCCAUAAAAUCUUUAUUAACAUUUUCAACAGCCAUUGUGUAAUGAUACCUCAACCACUUACUUUAAUGGUACUAAUAAUGUCUUAAAACAGUUUAACACUCUUAAAUUACAAAUGUCCAGGACGUGAUAAUAAUGAUAAACUGUUCCACAAGCCAAUAAAACCUUUCAAGGCACGCAAAGGCAAACUGGCUGGUGGUCUUAUUACCUGGACUUGACCUCCGCUUGUCGGCAGACGGCAAAGAACCGGGCCCGCCAACCAAGCUGGAGUUUUCAAUUAAUGCUUUGAUGUUGGUUAAAGUGACUUCUCGUGAGGCGUGCCGGUCUCACUCAAAACGAUCCCACACAUUCAUCGAUGAGCUUCAGUCGAGUUGCUUGAAAUUCUGCUGACCCUCCAAACUAAAUAUUCUCAGGUGCAGGAGGCAGAGCUGUCGGCCUCAAACGGCCUUGAAGGUCAACCUCUGAAAGGCGACUGAAACCCCUGACUGCAGCUCUUUUUGCUUGUCUUCUAUUUGGACAAAUGGCAAGACUCAGGUUCGAAGUGAAAGUGAGAGUCAGCCAGCCAGCUAGCAAAUGCCCUGGCGCUGUCAAGCUGUACCAAUACAGUAUAUUAGGGUCUGCCUCAAAGAUCUGAAGACUGUGGUUCGAAAGCUGACCCCGCCUGUUUGAAGUUUGCAUGUUCUUCCCUCGCAUGCGUGGAUUUUCUUCAGGCACUCUGGUUUCUUCCAACAUCCCUAAAAC